AAUCCCUCAUCCUUUCGAGCUUUCUUUAAGCUGGUCAGGCUUUGGAUUCUGGGAGUUUGCUGGCUUACAUUGAGCCGGCUCUUCUUAAAUGUAUUAGCAAGAUCAUCGCUAAAUCAUGUUUGAUAUGAUAAUUAUCUAUAUCAAUAAAUGAGAUCUGGCGGAUUUCCAUUUAGGAAAAUUGAUCAAGCUUUACAAUGGUCUCAGGACAACAAAUGCUUUUGAAUC
rnacentral:misc_RNA from 1 species